rnacentral:lncRNA from 1 species
UUUAAAAAAAGAUGUUAUCUUUAAAUGCUGUAGAAGAUUGCAUUGGCAUCCAUCUUUUACAUUAUUGAACUUUGUCCUUAACACAUAUUCACUAGCUUCCAAAGGAAAGCACUUUUUCUCCUCCAGCGACUCUGAGGAAGACGAGGAAAGCAAGAAGAAGUUCAAAAUUAAGAUCAAGCCGCUGGUGGCGGACAGUGCCAAGUGUGUCCCUUCGUCUAUGGACGAGCUGAAAGCCUCGGUGGGAGGCCUGGCACUCUCUCCAUCUCUGAAGAGAAGUCCGGUCUGUUCUCUCUUCCUUUUUGCUGGUCUCAGAGACGCAGCCCGGGGCAGAUAAAGAGGAAUUUGUCCUGUGAAGAGAUUGCCAGACCCAGACGCUCCACCCCCACACCCAGUCCUGCCCCUGAGACACCAAGGUCUGUCAUUCUUUUAGCAAUACUGACCACUGACAGAAAUAAAAACCUCUUAUUCAAUCUGUAUGUGUUUGGUACUCCUAAAAGUAGAAAUAGUGUUUGUGUGUCUUGUCUUGCAGUGACAGGCUAUCGCAGAACGUUCCUGCCUUUUUUGGGCUGCCUUCAGAGACCAAAUAUGCCAGAUAUGACGGUCUGUCCCCUAUGUCCAUAUUACAUCACAUGAAUUGAUACUGAGCACGUCAUGUAUCAGGUGGCGUAUACAAAGGUGACAUUUGU